UAUUCCACGUGCACCUGCGGAUGGACUUACUCGUAUCAUGAGAUACUAUGUUCUUCCUUCAUAGGUCAUCUAUUUCCUUUCUUUUACUCUAUGUGUGUGUGUUUGUAUCUUUUCCUAUUCCACAUGCACCCAUGGAUGGAAUUGUAUCAUGAGAUACUAUGUUCUUCCUUCAUAGAGCCUUAAGCAUUGGAAACGCUCUAGUGUCAAAUCUUUCCAUCUAUAUAAAAUUCUUGACGAGCCUGUCUCAAAGUUGUUAUACAGGGAUGUGGAUGUUUGCAUUCGAGAUGAUUGGUUGGCUGACAGAGACACAAGCAAUGAUUCAAUUAUUUUAUCGAAGUUCCUUGGGUCAUUGAAAGAAAUCCAAGAGGGCAGUGAUCCAAAUAUUUCUAAUUUCUCAAAUGGGUGAGCUCCAGAAGGUGCUGCUUUGACCCUAAACAAAUUACUUCACUGAAGGAAGCACUGGGCAGUAACUGGGGCAUGUGGACGUGGUAUGUUUUACUUUAAUGGAAAUUAGCAUGUAAAGCGCCUCUGCUGGUGGACAGAGGAGCAGAAGCAGAUGCUUUGUCCAUAUAAAUCUGCUAUGGUUCUGGCACCUGAAUAAUUGCGGUGCUUCAUUUUGGAUGAAAGUAAGAGUUCUUGUCUGCUUUAAGUUUGCUUAUAUUGUUUAGUUACUCCAAACUUCUGGAUUCUUAUGUACUUCUUAGGGCAUCUUGUCCUCAUGUUAUUUAACACCAAGUCCUUUGUCAUAAUUGUCUGCAACUGCAACUUAACUUCUGGAUUCUCAUGUACCUUGUUGAGAAAUGUUUUGGAGAUGGGAUUUCUGAGCUGGUUCCUAGGAAAACAUUCAUCAAUAAAUUAUGCAGUUUGAAUCCAGUUACUUAGCUAACAAUGAAGAGUAUGAUUUGGCA